rnacentral:lncRNA from 1 species
AUGGAAGUGGAAAAAGACAGAAUAGGAAGGACAAGAGACCUCUUCCAGAAAAUCAGAAAUAUCGGAGGCAAAUUUAAGGCAAAAAUGGGCACGAUCAAAAACAAAGAUGGCAGGGACCUAACAGUAGCUGAAGAGAUCAAGAAAAGGUGGCGAGAAUAUACAGAAGAUCUGUAUAGGAAGGAUAAUAAUAUAGAGGAUAGCUUUGAAGGUGUGGUGAGUGAAUUAGAACCAGACAUCCUGAGGAGUGAGGUUGAAUGGGCCUUAAGAAGCAUUGCUAACAACAAGGCAGCAGGAGAUGACGGGAUCCCAGCUGAGUUGUUUAAAAUCUUGGAAGUUGAUGCUGUCAAGGUGAUGCAUGCCAUAUGCCAGCAAAUAUGGAAAACACAAGAUUGGCCAUCAGAUUGGAAAAAUUCAAUUUAUAUCCCCAUACCAAAAAAGGGAAGCGCUAAAGAAUGCUCAAACUUCCGUACUGUGGCUACUUGGUCUUUAUACAAAUUUCUCAGGAGAUAGACAAGGUGACUUGGUAGCAUACAUUAAGAAUACUUUGGUAGGUUAAAUACAAUCUGGUUAAUGGAGGCUUACUACCAGGUAAGUCGAUAUAAGAUUGCAACCUCAAUAAUGCUAGCUGAACAAUCAGUGUUGGAUGUAUACUCCUGAACGAUUAAUUGGUGGAAAAGUAGGUAUCUUUUCUUGUUUCAUAUAUUCCCAUACACACAUUUAUUAUUGAGAACUACAUUGCAAAAUUCUAGAAAUAAGAAUUUCAAACUAGAAAUUUGCUUCUAUUUGUUUAGUCUGCAUUGUAACAUAGGAUCAAAAGAAGAAUGUUAAAAAGCAGUAAAGGUUGACCUUUGAAUUGUGUCUUAGACAGCAGUAUCAUGAGGUUUACUUCUGAAUACACAUGUAUUUCACAUUACUAUCUAAAACACUCUUUUCCAUAGUCAAAGCUAAAUUUAUCUGUGUAAAUCAACAUUAAUUCCAUCUCCUUUUUCAACAAUCUUUUUCAAAAGCUAGAUCUAGACUCAGGAAUAAUUUACAUCAUGCAGUUUAGCCCAAUAUAAAUUUGUCCCAGAACAGCCUCAUAUUUGACAUAUUUGUGCUUGUCUAGACAGCCCAGGUGCACAUUUGCUCUGCUGGGGCAACCAGUAUCUAACUUUCUCAUUGUUACCAGCCCAGGUCCUACUUUUGGCCUGGCAGAGAGAUCAAUCCAAACUUCUGAUUAUUGCGACUGCAUCUGCUGAUCUCAGAAAGGGGUGCCCAUGUGACCAGAGGGCCCUUUCUAUCUUUCUGGGAAAAGGUGAUGGCAGAAGUGCCCAGUCUGGACAGCAGAUUGGAUUGAAUUGGACUUAAGCUCACAGUCCAGGCUGCCCCAAAGUUUUGGGAUACUCCAGAGUAUUCUCUAAUUUUACCCAAAGCAAGAUAAAGUCAAUUUAAAUCAACCCCCUUCUUCCCCCUCUCCAAAAGCAAGAUUUGCCUGAAACCAUUGUGCAUUGUAAUUUUAGCUGAUAAUGUUUUAACUUAUUUUAUUAUCUAUGUUCAGAGAUUCUAUAAGCAUCAUAUAUAAAACUGUAGGUCAACUCCAUAUCAUGGAAUUUCUGCUUUUAAUAUUUCAAAUCUCUGGUCUUAAUGUUAAUGUUUUUGGGGUUUUUUUGUUUUUUAAACCCUCUGUUUUUAAUGUUUUAAAGUUUUAUACUCCUGGUCUGUGACCAUCACAAUAACUUUCAUUCAUUCACUCAUUGUGUAUUUUGGAGACAAUCAGAAAUCAAUUUGGAAUGAGUCUGGGAUUUGUUGUUGUCGUCAUUAUAGACCAAGUCCCUAGAUGUGUUUAGCUAGACUGAGAGAAGCAUGUUUCAUCUUUUCUUUUCUAUAGCAGCCUCCACAGUUCUCUCGAAAUGCCACAAGGAAUCCUGCUGAUGUGUAUUGAGGAUAUCCAAACUGGGCAAAGGAAAGCAUAAAGCAGAUCCAUCCCCAAAAAUCUCUUUCUUAACAUGAAAAAUGUCACGAUAGAGCUUUAUCAAGACAGACAUCCAUUAUUCUGUUGCAUGUUGUUUUUCUUUAAAGAUGCUAUAAGAGGUUCCUACACCUGAAAAAGAGUCCACAGUAAGAUCUGCAAUUUAUUUCUUAUUUUCUUGCCAACAAAACCCUGCCUCACCAAAUGUUGAUUUUAAAGCUUGCAUGGCAUCUCCUGUAAAUAAAUUAAUCUAUAAUGUUGUGCUUAGAAUGUUCAUUCCUUU